rnacentral:lncRNA from 1 species
UGCUAAUACUGCCCCUUGCUUUCUGUGUGGCUGCUUUCUGUUACAGUAGCAUCCAAAUGUGAUUAAUAAGGACAGCAAAAAGGAAAGCAAUGGUGUUCUCAUAGAAGAUAAUUGAGAUGCAAAGUACUCACAGCAUUGGUAAGUCACAUGACUGAUUACUUGUGAAAAAGCUGGAAGAAAU